CCCUGUUGAGCUUGACUCUAGUCUGGCUUUGUGAAUUGACUUGGGAGGUGUAGAAUAAGUGGGAGAUGCAAAUCGACGAUGAAAUACCACUACUCCUGGCGUCAAUUUACUUAUUUCGUUGUUUUGAAUCAGGGUCUUGAACCCUUUGUUUCUAGAAUUAAGUCUUAUUUAAUAGGACGAUCUACGCGAGAGACAAAGUCUGGUGGGGAGUUUGGCUGGGGCGGCACAUCUGUUAAACGAUAACACAGGUGUCCUAAGAGGAGCUCAAUGAGAACAGAAAUCUCAUGUAGAACAAAAGGGUAAAAGCUCCUUUGAUUUUGAUUUUCAGUAUGAAUACAAACUGUGAAAGCAUGGCCUAUCGAUCCUUUAGUCUUUAGAAACUUUAAGCUAGAGGUGUCAGAAAAGUUACCACAGGGAUAACUGGCUUGUGGCAGCCAAGCGUUCAUAGCGACGUUGCUUUUUGAUCCUUCGAUGUCGGCUCUU
rnacentral:rRNA from 1 species